CACACACACCCUCCCAAAAACUGCCCUUACACACUGUCACUUAUCCUCCACCCACAUUGUCAUACUCCCACACACUGCCCACAAGCACUAUCCCACACUGCCACACUGUCACCCUCCCCACACUGUCUCUCACCUCACACACUGUCACCCCCAGAAACACUGCCUCCACACUGUCACUCUCCGCACAUGCUGUCACCCUCCCCACACUUCCACUGUCACCACACACUGUCCUCCUCACAUCGUCACUCUCCCACACACUGUGACCACACACUGCCCUCCUCACAUUGUCAACCUCCCACACUCUGCCCUCCUCACAUUGUCACCCUCCCAUACACACUGUUACCUGUCCUCCUCCCAUGCUAUCAUUCUCCCACACAGUCACCCUCUCCCCACACAGUCAUCCUGUGUGCUAUAUAAUUGUGUUUGUCACAUACAUUUGUUAGCUUGAUAAGGACCACACUGGUCGAAACAUUUCUUUGCACAUUCUGGUGACAAUAAAUUGCCUGAAAUUGAACCUUUGGAGUGCCUUUUGAACUACCCACACACUGCCCUCCUCACAUUGCAC